UACGUAGGGUGCAAGCGUUGUCCGGAAUUAUUGGGCGUAAAGGGCGCGUAGGCGGUCGUGACAAGUCACUUGUGAAAUCUCCGGGCUUAACUCGGAACGGUCAAGUGAUACUGUCGGACUAGAGUACAGAAGGGGCAACUGGAAUUCUCGGUGUAGCGGUGAAAUGCGUAGAUAUCGAGAGGAACACCUGCGGCGAAGGCGGCUCUCUGGGACGGUACUGACGCUGAGACGCGAAAGCGUGGGGAGCGAACAGG
rnacentral:rRNA from 1 species